AAAAAGGCUUUUUGUCAGGGCAGCCCCUCGUGCUUUCGCCGUGAGGUCACUGGAGUUAGCGAAGCGUGGGGUGGUUUGUCCCGGCUCCGUGUUCCCGAUCCGUGCCGUGGCACUUUGGGAUGGAAAAGUACAGGCGGAUGAAAACGAGAGCUUUUAAUUCAUCUGGAGUUUGAGAAACAGUAACUUGCAGGAGCGGUUCUGAGGACAGCUGGGCAUUGAGCUGCGUGUUGGCGCAGCACAGUGAGCAAAGUGACCACCUCAAGCAGAUCUUUGGAAAGAACCAAGAAGGGAAGGUGCCACAGGCACUGUAUCCUCCAGUGUGAGGCGCUGAGUGGAGCAGUUACUGUCAUUUUGAACACACAUCCUGUCAAGACUGAAUCUUGUGUGGAACAAGCUCAUUUGUAGUCACGAGUACAGCCAGAGAACGAAGGAGAAGCAAGUGGCAAAGUCUCAAGACAACCAGGGAACAGAAGGGAGUGUUCAGCUGCUUGCAUUUAAGGCUGAAGCAGAAAAGCAGUUGCCCACAGUCUAAGAUACAAGAGCAUUCCUCCUCAUGUGUUGAGACACUCACCAUCUACACAGCAGUGCAACUCUUGGUUUUUAAGAGGUUUUUGUGUGGCCAAGGAAACUACGCAAAGGAGAGGGAAUCUAAAGUGGCAAUAUACAGCAGAUCACCAAUGGAUCAACACUCAGUUUACAAGACUUAGUUUUCUCAAAACUAUUUGUGUGCCCUUCAGAGUCAAGUUUUCUUGCAAAGAUGGGGGUGGAGGACAGUUCCAAUGCACAGUGAAAGAGCAGCGUGUGACAAAACCCCUAAUGAGGGAAUAAAGAUAAUUCGCACAAGGUUCAUUAUGGAAUGCUG
rnacentral:lncRNA from 1 species